CAAAACAUAAUGGCAUAUUUGAGAGGGAAGAUACAAACGAAGUGGAAUAAAAAAAAUAAGCAGAUAAAGUUAUAGUAUGGAAGAUUUUAAAUAAUGACAUGGUGGAAGAUGUUUAAAUCAAAUAUGUUAAUGAUUUGAUUGUCUCCUACAGGUUGUUAUCCUAGGGAGCGAGAGAAAGAGGCCGCGCUGAUUUCUACGUUUGGCUGGGUCAACUUGUGUCAUCUUCCACAUCCAGAUUACCAUUCCGGCGAUCUACGAGGAUCGACGAGCUCACUGCCCACAAGGAAGUCGGGUAGCUCUCUAAGAAAUUAGAUAGCCUAUUUUGUGGGCGCAUGGACGAAAAUGUUAUUUGCAUACGCUCUAUUUGUUUUCUAAUUAUAGCUUAUUAUUACUUCAUAAUAGCUAAGAAAUAUUUAAGCUG